AUUGAACGCUGGCGGCAGGCCUAACACAUGCAAGUCGAGCGAGCGGCGGCCGGGUGAGUAAUGUAUGGGGACUGCCCGAUAGAGGGGGAUAACUACUGGAAACGGUGGCUAAUACCGCAUACUAUCGGAUAACCCAUAUGGGAUUAGCUAGUGGGUGGGGUAAAGGCUCACCUAGGCGACGAUCUCUAGCUGGUCUGAGAGGAUGAUCAGCAACACUGGGACUAGGACACGGCCCAGACUCCGACGGAGGCAGCAGUGGGGAAUAAUGCACAAUGGGCGAAAGCCGGAUGGAGAGACGCCGCGUGGGGGAUGAAGGCUUUCGGGUUGUAAACCUCUUUCGCUAUCGAAAGGGUAGGUGGAGAAGAAGCGCCGGCUAACUACGUGCCAGCAGCCGCGGUAAUAC
rnacentral:rRNA from 1 species